rnacentral:lncRNA from 1 species
AUGGGGAGUAAAGGGAGGCAGGAAAACACCUAUUUCUGCUUUAUUGACUGUGCCAAAGCCUUUGACUGUGUGGAUCACAAUAAACUGUGGAAAAUUCUGAAAGAGAUGGGAAUACCAGACCACCUGACCUGCCUCCUGAGAAACCCAUAUGCAGGUCAGGAAGCAACAGUUAGAACUGGACAUGGAACAACAGACUGGUUCCAAAUAGGAAAAGGAGUAUGUCAAGGCUGUAGAUUGUCACCCUGCUUAUUUAACUUCUAUGCAGAGUACAUCAUGAGAAAUGCUGGGCUGGAAGAAGCGCAAGCUGGAAUCAAGAUUGCCGGGAGAAGUAUCAAUAACCUCAGAUAUGCAGAUGACACCACCCUUAUGGCAGAAAGUGAAGAGGAGCUAAAAAGCCUCUUGAUGAAAGUGAAAUUGGAGAGUGAAAAAGUUGGCCUAAAGCUCAACAUUCGGAAAAUGAAGAUCAUGGCAUCUGGCCCCAUCACUUCAUGGGAAAUAGAUGGAGAAACAGUGGAAACAGUGUCAGACUUUAUUUUUGGGGGCUCCAAAAUCACUGCAGCUGGUGAUUGCAGUGAUGAAAAAAGAUGCUUAUUCCUUGGAAGGAAAGUUAUGGCCAACCUAGAUAGUAUAUUAAAAAACAGAGAUAUUACUUUGCCAAAAAAUGUCCAUCUAGACAAGGCUAUGGUUUGUCCAGUAGUCAUGUAUGGAUGUGAGAGCUGGACUGUGAAGAAAGCUGAGCACCGAAGAAUUGAUGCUUUUGAACUGUGGUGUUGGAGAAGACUCUUCCAAGUCCCUGGGACUGUAAGGAGGUCCAACCAGUCCAUCCUAAAGGAGACCAGUCCUGGGUGUUCAUUGGAAGGACUGAUGCUAAGGCUGAAACUCCAAUACUUUGGCCACCUCACGCGAAGAGUUGAUUCAUUGGAAAAGACCCUGAUGCUGGGAGGGAUUGGGGGCAGGAGGAGAAGGGGACGACAGAGGAUGAGAUGGCUGGAUGGCAUCACCGACACAAUGGACAUGGGUUUGGGUGGACUCCAGGAGUUGAUGAUAGACAGGGAGGCCUGGAGUGCUGUGGAUAAUGGGAUCACAAAGAGUCAGACACGACUGAGCGACUGA